rnacentral:rRNA from 1 species
CAGUAGCCACGGUAAUACGUAGGGUGCAAGCGUUAAUCGGAGUUACUGGGCGUAAAGCGUGCGCAGGCGGUUUGUUAAGACAGAUGUGAAAUCCCCGGGCUCAACCUGGGAACUGCAUUUGUGACUGGCAAGCUAGAGUAUGGCAGAGGGGGGUGGAAUUCCGCGUGUAGCAGUGAAAUGCGUAGAUAUGCGGAGGAACACCGAUGGCGAAGGCAGCCUCCUGGGCCAAUACUGACGCUCAUGCACGAAAGCGUGGGGAGCAAACAGGAUUAGAUACCCCGGUAGUCCCUGUCUCUUAUAC